rnacentral:lncRNA from 1 species
UAUUUACCUCCUUUUCUGGUUUCCAUUUUUCUCCAUCAGGUGUUAGGUGCUUGGCACAUAGGAAGCCGCUCACAAAGUGUGGACUUGAACAAGAUCCAUGGAAGAAGUUUAUCUUACCUUUAAUUCCUAUUCAAAUAAUUAAGUUGGAACCUCCUUAUUUUAUUGAAGGCAUAUGACAGACUAAAAAGCAAUAGGUUUAAAAGAAAGAUAAAGAAAGUUUGCCGACAUACGGUGUAACACCCAGCGACGUGUGCCCCAGGUCUUCUCUGGCCGCUCAACUAACGGGCCGGGCGCACAGCCCCGUACCUGGCGUACCUGGCGGCCGGGAAGGCGUGCAGGGAAGGAAAGAGCAACAUGACGCUGUCACUGUGCGGCUGACACUAGUGGAGAGGUGUCCCCGCCAAGCCUGGAGCCCAUCCCGCGGGGCUCCCUCUCUCCAGGCGGGCAACGUGGACCGGCUGCGGGGAGUCACCCCCUGGCUGCAGACCGCUGGCACCUUGGAGCUGGAGCUGCUCAGCACCAACAACACAUCUUCAUCCUCCACAAGGGCGAAGGGGAAGCUGGAGGGGGUUGAGGAACAGGAACCUCAGGGCCGCGGCUGACCCCAGGGCCAGGCUGCAGGGGCGAGCAGGGCAGGCUUCCUCCCAAGUCACCGUGCUCGUCCCGGCCGGCGUCACUCCCGGCGCCCUGAAGCCUGGGUUCUAAAUAUAGAUUGUGUAUUUUGUUAAGCUCUUCAGUUUGCUUUCUAACUUCAGUAAAAAGAUGUAAGCGGGAGAAAAAUGAUCUGUCAAAGGAAUUUAAAAGCAAAUGGAUUCAAGUACACAAUGUGGUGUUACCACGGCCUGGGACAAAGGAAGAGUGGCCGCAAGAGGGGAGGCCGAUGGUGGCCAGUGGGCCGCAGAACUGGACUUCAAUUCACCGUAUGAACUGAGCCCACUGCUGCCUAGCAGGAGCGUCCCAUUGACAUGGGGUACGGCUCCCGGUGAGGUAUAGGACAUAAGGGUUGGGGGUGCCUGGCGGGGCUCGGUCAGUCAAGUGUCUGCGGUGGGCCCAGGUCAUGGGAUCGGGCCUCCCCUUGGGCUCCCUGCCCAGCGGGGGGUCUGCUUUUCCCUCUCCCUCUGAGCCUCCUCCCUCGCCGCUUGUGCUUUCUCUCUCUCUCUCUCCCUCUGUCUCAAAUAAAUAAAUAAAGCCUUAAAAAAAUAAGAUAAAAGUUAAAGUUGGCACCGGGAAUUUUCCUGAAGACUGUCACUUGUGUUUGUCUACGGACAGAUGUGUUUUAUGUUUGGACUCUGGGCGCUCCGAGGCCAGCAAGCUGCUGGGGCCCUG